AUAACGGUCCUAAGGUAGCGAAAUUCCUUGUCGGGUAAGUUCCGACCUGCACGAAUGGAGUAACGACUUCCCUACUGUCUCAACCAUGAACUCGGCGAAAUUGCAGUACGAGUAAAGAUGCUCGUUUCGCGCAGCAGGACGGAAAGACCCCGUGACCUUUACUAUAGUUUGGUAUUGGUGUUUGGUUUGGCUUGUGUAGGAUAGGUGGGAGACUGUGAAGCAUGGACGCUAGUUUGUGUGGAGUCGUUGUUGAAAUACCACUCUGGUCAAUCUGGAUGUCUAACUUCGGGCCAUGAUCUGGUUCAGGGACAGUGCCUGAUGGGUAGUUUAACUGGGGCGGUUGCCUCCUAAAGUGUAACGGAGGCGCCCAAAGGUUCCCUCAGCCUGGUUGGCAAUCAGGUGUUGAGUGUAAGUGCACAAGGGAGCUUGACUGUGAGACUGGCAGGUCGAGCAGGGACGAAAGUCGGGACUAGUGAUCCGGCGGUACGUUGUGGAACGGCCGUCGCUCAACGGAUAAAAGGUACCUCGGGGAUAACAGGCUGAUCUUGCCCAAGAGUCCAUAUCGACGGCAUGGUUUGGCACCUCGAUGUCGGCUCGUCGCAUCCUGGGGCUGGAGCAGGUCCCAAGGGUUGGGCUGUUCGCCCAUGAAAGCGGUACGCGAGCUGGGUUUAGAACGUCGUGAGACAGUUCGGUCCCUAUCCUCUGCGCGCGCAGGAGACUUGAGAAGGCCUGUCCCUAGUACGAGAGGACCGGGACGGACGAACCUCUGGUGUGCCAGUUGUCCCGCCCGGGGCAUGGCUGGUUGGCUACGUUCGGAAUGGGUAACCGCUGAAAGCAUCUAAGCGGGAAACCAUCUUCAAGAUGAGGUCUCCACACAACCCUUCGGGGUUGUGGUAGGCCCCCAGUAGACUACUGGGUUGAUAGGCCGGGUGUGGAAGACCUGCAAGGGUUGGAGCUGACCGGUACUAAUUGGCCGA
rnacentral:rRNA from 12 species